rnacentral:rRNA from 1 species
AUGAGAGCCGCUUGCUUCUGCUUGUCCUUCACCGCUGCCUCUCCCCCCCUCCCUUCCACCUCCACCGCUGCCUCGAGCCCACGCUGUCAGAGUCACGCCUCCUACCGCUGGUCCCAGCCACGCCAUAGCCGCGGCGGGGUGGUCCGGGCCCUCCACGAGCGGCUGCUAGAGACACCAACCCCCGCACCAGCGGAGACCGAGGUCGAGGAUGAGAGUGGUGUCGGUGAGAUAGAAGACGGCGGUGAACGGGAGGGAAGAGAUGGGCAGGCUGAUAUUGUGGGCCCGUCGGAGGCCCAGGAGCAGCCGAAGAGCAGGCGACGACAGCAGCAGGAGGAAGAGGAUGCCACGGCGGAGCGCGCCCGGUUCAAGCUCAUCAACGGCAAAGAGAUAUUUCAAGAGAAGACCUACCUAGUUGGAGUCGAGUGCAAGAGGGCCGCAAGAGAUAACUUCAGCAUAGAGGAAUCGCUCAAGGAGCUUGAGCAGUUAGCUGAUACUGCUGGGCUCAUGGUUCUCGGAUCGACCUAUCAAAAGCUUUCAAGUCCAAAUCCAAGGACUUAUAUUGGUUCAGGGAAGGUUGCUGAAAUUAGGAGUGCAGUUCAGGCCCUUGAUAUUGAGACUAUAAUUUUCGAUGAUGAGUUGUCUGCUGGACAGCUGCGUAACUUGGAGAAGUCCUUUGGUGGAGGUGUUCGAGUCUGUGACCGGACUGCUCUUAUUCUGGACAUUUUUAAUCAAAGGGCAGUGACACAUGAAGCUGCUCUGCAGGUCACCCUGGCACAAAUGGAAUAUCAACUUCCUAGGUUGACAAAACUGUGGACUCACCUUGAGCGGCAGUCGGGAGGCCAAGUCAAGGGUAUGGGUGAGAAACAAAUUGAAGUUGACAAGCGCAUCUUGAGAACACAAAUAAGCACUUUGAGGAAGGAAUUGGAGUCUGUCCGAAAACAUCGAAAGCUUUAUCGCAACCGUCGACGGUCGGUGCCUAUUCCUGUUGUUUCUCUGGUGGGAUAUACAAAUGCUGGAAAAAGUACACUCUUGAACCGCUUAACUGGAGCUGAUGUGCUCGCUGAGGAUAAAUUAUUUGCCACACUAGACCCAACAACACGGAGGGUGUUGAUGAAGAGCGGCACUGAGUUCCUCCUAACAGAUACUGUCGGGUUCAUUCAGAAGCUACCCACUAUGCUGGUGGCAGCAUUUAGAGCAACACUGGAGGAGAUAUCAGAAUCAUCAAUUAUUGUUCAUCUUGCAGAUAUCAGCCAUCCAUUAGCUCAACAACAGAUAGGUGCUGUUGACAAAGUACUGAAAGAGCUGGAUAUAGACUCGGUUCCGAAGUUGGUUGUGUGGAAUAAGAUUGACAAUACCGAUAACCCAUUGAGAGUGAAGGAGGAAGCCGAGAAACAAGGGAUAAUCUGCAUAUCCGCCAUGAAUGGUGAUGGUUUGGAAGAGUUCUGCAAUGCAAUCCAAGCAAAGUUGAAAGACUCACUGGUGCCCAUAGAAGCUUUUGUUCCGUAUGACAAAGGAGAUCUGUUAAAUGACAUACAUAAGGUUGGAAUGGUUGAGAAAACGGAGUACAUGGAAAAUGGCACGUUGAUAAAAGCACAUGUGCCUCUACCUCUUGCAAGGCUUCUCACGCCGUUGCGGCAGCAGGUGGCUGCUCCUCUAUGA